AAUCCCAGGAUGAGGCCAGCAGGGAGGGCGGAGAUGUGGCCCCGAAGACAGAAGCUGCUGCACUGUGACCCUUUCCCCUUCCUGGAAGGGCUUCUCUAAUGUCCACGUUUAGAAUUUUUUACACGUUUGCAACUUUUUUACCAUUACAAAUACUUUGUUUUUUAACGUUGGAUACUCUGUUUUUUAACGUUGGAUAUUUAAGACUGUAAAUAUGUUUCUCUUACAUAUUGUGCAUAUUGUAUAAUAAAUGAAAAUUGACUCCU
rnacentral:lncRNA from 1 species